GGAGGGCUGGCUGAGUGGCAAGGCACCGGGUUGCUAACCCGAGGUCCGGGUCUCCCCCGGCGCGCGUUCGAUCCGCGCGCCCUCCG
rnacentral:tRNA from 1 species